GACGAACGCUGGCGGCGUGCUUAACACAUGCAAGUCGAACGAUGAAGCCGGAGCUUGCUCUGGUGAAUUAGUGGCGAACGGGUGAGUAACACGUGAGUAACCUGCCCUUGACUCUGGGAUAACUGCGGGAAACUGUAGCUAAUACCGGAUACGACCCUCGGAGGCAUCUUCGGGGGGUGGAAAGAAUUUCGGUCAAGGAUGGACUCGCGGCCUAUCAGCUAGUUGGUGAGGUAACGGCUCACCAAGGCGACGACGGGUAGCCGGCCUGAGAGGGUGACCGGCCACCCUGGGACUGAGACACGGCCCAGACUCCUACGGGAGGCAGCAGUGGGGAGUAUUGCACAAUGGGCGCAAGCCUGAUGCAGCAACGCCGCGUGAGGGAUGACGGCCUUCGGGUUGUAAACCUCUUUUAGUAGGGAAGAAGCGAAAGUGACGGUACCUGCAGAAAAAGCACCGGCUAACUACGUGCCAGCCGCCGCCGUAA
rnacentral:rRNA from 1 species